rnacentral:pre_miRNA from 14 species
CAUUCGGGGUUCUGGGGGUCACGCUCCGAUCCCGGACGAGCCCCCAAAUGAAAGAGCGUACCCCAAAACAGGGAGCCACGUCUCUCGCUCCGAUCGCAGGGUGGGGUGCCCCCAGGAAUCACGAGGAGCC